UCUGUGUAACAUGGAAAACCUUCUGCGCGUCCUCCACACAGUAGGCAACCAGGCCCACUCUUUCUCUAGGAAAUUAUAUAAAAUUAUGAAAUAAUGGUCCAGAGUUAUUCCAUGAAUUCCUAUGCAGGAAUCAAAAUACCCUCAUUACACUUGUUUUGCUUUCUUUUUAAAGGCAGUUUUUGUUCCUCCAAAAUUUCUAAAAUGGAUGGUUUCUUAUUUUCCAACCAUAAUCUUCACAACAAACAAUGUCGUGUAUUUUUAUGAAGGAAGGUACUUGAUUAUUCGACUUUGAUUAAUUGUUGAAUACUCUGCGCAUAUGAAAUAUCUAAGUAACACAGGUUAAUGUUCCAUAACAGUGUUCAUCCUUAAUUUUCUUUGUGCUGUGCUGUGUCAGACUUGAGCUGGUUUACUGAAGGGCACUGCCACAUUCUGAUAAUCUGAAAUCCAACUCAGAGGCACAAAGAUGUUUUUCCAGAAUUUAUCAAUAAUUUUCUUCUUCACCAUUUCAGCCUUUUUUUUUUUUUUAAUUAAAUUAUUUGUUUAUUUGCUUGUUUGAUUAUUGUUUUAUUGUUGCUGUUAUUUUUGUUGGUUUGAUUUGUACUUAUCUACUUCAUUUUACUUCUAGACUUCUCUGAAUACACUGCCAUUUUUACGCAAACAGACUCAUUCACCUCUCACAAGAAUCUCUCCAUCCUUCAUCCUUCAGACUUGGCUGAAAUUUUUAAGGACAAAACAUCUUUAAUUUUGAGAGCAUCUUUAUUGGAGGGAAGGCUUUAAAAUUGAUUCAUAUCAUUAAGCAAAUAUGACUGGUGGUUCCACUUCAUCAGACAUCAACAGUGGCACAAAUGUCCACAUUUUUUUUGGAAACUCAAAUCAGCCACAAAGGAAUUAAAAAUAUCUGCAUCUUAUUUCUUAGUGAAACUUUCAGUAUCAGGGAAAACUAACAUUCCAUGAUUCCAUAUAGUUUCUGUCUAUUAAGUUGUAUUAUUUUAUUACAGUUAUUUACAAAAUCCUCACAAAUAAAGUAUUUCUUUUGCUUCAUAUCAUUUUAAAUUUAUUGGAAAAAAAAAAAACAUAUAAAUGUGUUUAAUGGUACUGUACUAUUUUAAUAUUAUUAUUUUAUAUUUAUAAUAAUUAUUAUUGCAGUCAAAAGACAAAGGGCAAAGGAAAUGUCAGAAUCAUUUAAGAAAAGAAUCACAAGAACUGUUCAAAUGAAAUAACCACAAAUAUUUUUUGAGAUUUUUUUUAAAUGGAUUUUUAUGAAUCUUUAAUUCUAUUAAAUGGGAUAAGAAAACAUUGGAACACUGCGUACAUUGAUAUUAGAUCUUUACAAAUGACACUGUACUAAUGCUACAUAAUCCUGUAUAAUAUGGAAUGGAUAAUCUAACGUAUAAAAGAGGCAAAUGAUUUUGUCAUUGUUGUCCUCAGCAUAAAGUUAUUAACAAAGAAUUUUUAAUUCUGUGAAGAAAUAUCAUUACUUUUUUUUGUUUGUAUGUAUGUAUAAAUAAAUAAAUAUAUAUAUAUAUUUUAUGGCAAGAAAAAACAACAGAUGAUACAGUAGCAAAAUUCUGACCUCAAACUGUACCAGCUACUGUUGUUUAGGACAUCUAGUAUGAAACUUUGUAUUCACUAGACAAGCAUUUAGUAUAAUCUAGAACAAUGCCAAGUACAGUUGGCAGUUACAGAUCUUACUUACGGUUCAUUAAGAUUUAUGAGCUGAAUAUAUUUGUAUGUGGACUAGCAAAAAAACCAAAAAAGUAAACAAACAAACAAACAAACAAAAAAACAGCCAACACAAAUACAGUGCUGGUUUUCUCCAGCACCCUGAUCAUAUGUCUAUGUUAGCAACUGAAAGGUGAAGUUCUUAAUAAAGAUUCAAAUUUCCCGGUAGUAUUCUUCUUGUGCUUUCCUUAAUUUCUUUUGUUUCUGCCUAAUUUGCUGGGAGUACUUGCAAUCCAGGUUAUAGAUUGUAUAAAAAACAUAUAACUUACAUAAUUUGCACAUUGUUUUGAAAAUCCCUUCAGCCCUUUCUGAAUCAUUAGAAAAGAUAAGUUUUAAUGCCAUACUCUUCAAAAUCAGUAACCAGAAUUUCUGAUUGUGAGAUUCAUCUGCCUACUUGAGCAUCACAGAAAUAAACCCAGAAAAUCUGUACUUAUCUUGCCUAACAUAGUAUUUUUGAACGACUGGAUGUGUCAAUUAUUGUUUUGAACAAACAUCACUUUUGCUGGUUUUAGCUCGUGAGAUAUGGCAGUACUGAAACACUCGUCAUACAGUAUGUUUUAAAUUGAUAAUUGAAACAUUUAUUAAGAAAUAAAGUCAUUUAAGGUCCUCAAAGUUCAUUCCAGCUUCAGUUACAACAAUAAUAGAGUGACAAAAUGACAGUUUUAUUGAAAUUGAACUGCAUGUGUAUAUAUAUAUAUACAUGAUAUAACCAUGAAGUGAUUAAAAAAAAAAAGAAUAAUAA
rnacentral:lncRNA from 1 species